rnacentral:rRNA from 1 species
GACGAACGCUGGCGGCGUGCUUAACACAUGCAAGUCGAACGCUGAAGCACCAGCUUGCUGGUGUGGAUGAGUGGCGAACGGGUGAGUAAUACGUGAGUAACCUGCCCUUGACUCUGGGAUAAGCCCGGGAAACUGGGUCUAAUACUGGAUGCUACAUGUCACCGCAUGGUGGUGUGUGGAAAGGGUUUACUGGUCUUUGAUGGCCGCACGGCCUAUCAGCUUGUUGGGGAGGUAGUGGUCCACCACGGCGACGACGGGUAGCCGGCCUGAGAGGGUGACCGGCCACACUGGGACUGAGACAGGCCCCAGACUCCUACGGGGGGCAGCAGGGGAAAAUAUUGCACAGUGGGCGAGAGCCUGAUGCAGCGGCGCCGGGUGAGGGAUGACGGCCUUCGGGUUAUAAACCUCUUUCAGCAGGGAAGAAGCCACAAGUGCGGGUACCUGCAGAAGAAGCGCGGGCUAACUACGU